rnacentral:rRNA from 1 species
ACCGUGCAAAGGUAGCAUAAUCACUUGCCUAUUAAUUGUAGGCUAGAAUGAAAGGACAAACGAGAAUACACCUGUCUCCUUUAAGCCCUUAAAAAUUUAUCUUUAAGUGAAGAAGCUUAAAUUCAUAUGCAGGACAAGAAGACCCUAUAGAGCUUUACCUAAAAUCUACAUAAAUAGUAGCUAGCGGUUCGGUUGGGGCGACCGGGGGACAUUCAUCACCCCCAAACUAAAAGAUAUACCUAUCCCACCAAAGAUCCUUACUCAAGAUCAAAGAAUCAAGCUACCUUAGGGAUAACAGGCUAAUCCUCUUAGAGAGCCCUUAUCGACAAGAGGGG